GUUUUCUUUAUCUUUUGGAUUUUUUUAAAAUAGAAUAAGAAUGAACAUAAAAAUUGGAAAAACUGGGGAUCGAAGCUAAGACAAGCUAUAAAUGUUGGCAGCCUACUAAAGAGCAAGUUGAUAUAUUAAUGACUAUCUUCAACCAUGGGAUAGUAAAUCACAGUCGAAAGCAGGUACGUGAAAUUGUAACACGGUUUAUGGAUAUCGAGUAAAACAACGACGCUUGCGGCAGGAUGUCACUGGUGCAUCUACCCAUUCCUAUUGCUUCCUACCGUCUUUUAUGCAUGAUCUUACAUGGGUAACUCCAUCGAUUCCAA
rnacentral:sRNA from 1 species